rnacentral:rRNA from 1 species
UACAGAGACUGCAAGCGUUAUUCGGAUUCACUGGGCGUAAAGGGUGCGCAGGCGGCCGUGUGUGUUAGGCGUGAAAGCCUGAGGCUUAACCUCAGAAUUGCACCUAAAACUACACGGCUAGAGUACUGGAGAGGGUAGCGGAAUUCACGGUGUAGCAGUGAAAUGCGUAGAUAUCGUGAGGAACACCAAUGGCGAAGGCAGCUACCUGGACAGUUACUGACGCUCAGGCACGAAAGCGUGGGGAGCAAAAGGG